UACGUAGGGUGCAAGCGUUGUCCGGAAUUACUGGGCGUAAAGGGCGCGUAGGCGGCUUGGCAAGUGGAAGGUGAAAUCCCUCGGCUUAACCGAGGAACUGCCUUCCAGACUGUUAGGCUUGAGACCGGGAGAGGUGAGUGGAAUUCCCAGUGUAGCGGUGAAAUGCGUAGAUAUUGGGAGGAACACCAGUGGCGAAGGCGGCUCACUGGACCGGUACUGACGCUGAGGCGCGAAAGCGUGGGGAGCAAACGGG
rnacentral:rRNA from 1 species